rnacentral:ncRNA from 1 species
UAAUAAGUUUAAUCCUGACUUUAAUAUUAACUGUUUCUUAACUUACACAUGCAAGUCUCAGCAACCCCGUGAAAACGCCCUUAAAACCUGUAAAAGGAAAAGGAGCCGGCAUCAGGCACAGAAUCCUUGCCCAUGACGCCUAGUUUCACCACGCCUCCAAAGGUAGUCAGCAGUGAUCAACAUUGUCUAUAGGCGAAAGCCUGAGUCAGUUAAAGAAAAGAGGGUCGGCCAACCCGGUGCCAGCCGCCGCGGCCAUACCGGCGGACUCAAGUUAAUAACCACCGGCGUCAAGCGUGAUUAAAGAACCUCUAAGUUAGAGUUGAAUAAUGGCUUAGCUGUUGAAAGCUUACCUAUUAGAACCCCAAAAACGAAAGUUACUCUAAUUAAACUCUUGAAUACACGACAGUUUGGGUACAAACUGGGAUUAGAUACCCCACUAUGCCACACCGUAAAUCUAAACUACACUCAAAACGCCAGGGUACUACGAGCCUAGCUUAAAACCCAAAGGAUUUGACGGUGUUCCACCCAACUAGAGGAGCCUGUUCUAUAAUCGAUGAUCCACGAUCUACCUAACCAUUUUUUGCUAUCCAGCCUGUAUACCUCCGUCGUAAGCUUAUCGCUUGAGUGAGAAAAAGUAAGCAAAAGGGCUUAAAGCCAAAACGUCAGGUCAAGGUGCAGCUUAUAAAAUGGAAGAAAUGAGCUACAAUUUCUAAUCUAGAACACACGAAUUACUGCAUGAAACAAGGUCAUGAAGGUGGAUUUAGUAGUAAGUAGGGAAUAGAGAGCCCUACUUAAUUAGGCCCUGGAACGCGUACAAACCGCCCGUCACCCUCUUCAACAGCUUUUCACCAGUUAAAUUAACCUAUUAAUCGCAUCUUAGAAGAGGCAAGUCGUAACAUGGUAAGUGUACUGGAAAGUGUACUUGGAAUAA